rnacentral:rRNA from 1 species
AGUUCGGAUUGCAGGCUGCAACCCGCCUGUAUGAAGUUGGAAUCGCUAGUAAUCGCGGAUCAGCAUGCCGCGGUGAAUACGUUCCCGGGCCUUGUACACACCGCCCGUCACACCAUGAGAGUCGGGAACACCCGAAGUCCGUAGCCUAACCGCAAGGAGGGCGCGGCCGAAGGUGGGUUCGAUAAUUGGGGUGAAGUCGUAACAAGGUACC